GUUGCGGUUCGCCAUAUCCGUGCGAUUAAGAGGGAAUCGGGUGCAAGUCCCGAGCUGUCCCGCAGCUGUAAGCUCUGUCGUUAGGCGCAGCAGACAAGCCACUGAGCGAGUCCAUAGAGGCUCAUCGGGAAGGUGCUGCCAGCCGGGAGCGAGUCAGAAGACCUGCCGCAAUUA
rnacentral:ncRNA from 1 species